AGAGUUUGAUCAUGGCUCAGAUUGAACGCUGGCGGCAUGCCUUACACAUGCAAGUCGAACGGCAGCACGGGUGCUUGCACCUGGUGGCGAGUGGCGAACGGGUGAGUAAUACAUCGGAACGUACCUUAUCGUGGGGGAUAACGCAGCGAAAGUUGCGCUAAUACCGCAUACGCCCUGAGGGGGAAAGCGGGGGACCGUAAGGCCUCGCGCGAUUAGAGCGGCCGAUGUCUGAUUAGCUUGUUGGUGAGGUAAAAGCUCACCAAGGCGAUGAUCAGUAGCUGGUCUGAGAGGACGAUCAGCCACACUGGGACUGAGACACGGCCCAGACUCCUACGGGAGGCAGCAGUGGGGAAUUUUGGACAAUGGGGGCAACCCUGAUCCAGCAAUGCCGCGUGAGUGAAGAAGGCCUUCGGGUUGUAAAGCUCUUUUGUCAGGGAAGAAACAGCAGCUCUAACACAGUCUGCGAAUGACGGUACCUGAAGAAUAAGCACCGGCUAACUACGUGCCAGCAGCCGCGGUAAUACGUAGGGUGCGAGCGUUAAUCGGAAUUACUGGGCGUAAAGCGUGCGCAGGCGGUUAUACAAGACAGGCGUGAAAUCCCCGGGCUUAACCUGGGAAUGGCGUCUGUGACUGUAUAGCUAGAGUGUGUCAGAGGGGGGUGGAAUUCCACGUGUAGCAGUGAAAUGCGUAGAUAUGUGGAGGAACACCAAUGGCGAAGGCAGCCCCCUGGGAUAACACUGACGCUCAUGCACGAAAGCGUGGGGAGCAAACAGGAUUAGGUACCCUGGUAGUCCACGCCC
rnacentral:rRNA from 1 species